rnacentral:tRNA from 1 species
CACCCGUUCGGGUAGCUUAAA